AAGUCGAGGGGUAUGCAUCUUCGGAUGCAGAGACCGGCGCACGGGUGCGUAACGCGUAUGCAAUCUGCCUUUCACAGAGGGAUAGCCCGGAGAAAUUUGGAUUAAUACCUCAUAGUAUUAUGGAAGGGCAUCCUUUUAUAAUUAAAGUCACAACGGUGAAAGAUGAGCAUGCGUCCCAUUAGUUAGUUGGUAAGGUAACGGCUUACCAAGACUUCGAUGGGUAGGGGUCCUGAGAGGGAGAUCCCCCACACUGGUACUGAGACACGGACCAGACUCCUACGGGAGGCAGCAGUGAGGAAUAUUGGUCAAUGGGCGCAAGCCUGAACCAGCCAUGCCGCGUGCAGGAUGACGGUCCUAUGGAUUGUAAACUGCUUUUGUACGAGAAGAAACACCCCUACGAGUAGGGACUUGACGGUAUCGUAAGAAUAAGGAUCGGCUAACUCCGUGCCAGCAGCCGCGGUAAUACGGAGGAUCCAAGCGUUAUCCGGAAUCAUUGGGUUUAAAGGGUCCGUAGGCGGUCUUGUAAGUCAGUGGUGAAAGCCCAUCGCUCAACGAUGGAACGGCCAUUGAUACUGCAGGACUUGAAUUACUGGGAAGUAACUAGAAUAUGUAGUGUAGCGGUGAAAUGCUUAGAGAUUACAUGGAAUACCAAUUGCGAAGGCAGGUUACUACCGGUGGAUUGACGCUGAUGGACGAAAGCGUGGGUAGCGAACAGGAUUAGAUACCCUGGUAGUCCACGCCGUAAACGAUGGAUACUAGCUGUU
rnacentral:rRNA from 1 species